GCUCAUAUUCAAAUUUUCCGCUUUGCUCGGGGACAACCUUAAUUGAAAUAGCUCUAAAAACUAGGAGUUACUAUCGCAAAAAAAAGUGCUGCCUUUUUGCCAUAUGAACUGAAUGCAAAAAUUAUAACUUCUAGACAAUUAUCUAAAGGGAAGUUUACUUUUGACCCAAUGACCUCAUUUCCACGUUUAAUCACUGGUAGCAUGGCAGGCCUGCACAUGAAGGUAAUAUCCCCUAUAUUUCCUGCACAAAUUAGUUUCUCGUUUAUCAUUUAAGACCAAUCACGAACUUAUUCUUAAAUUGUGUGCACGUAACAUGAGUAAAUAACCAACAUGAAAAUAAGGCCAUUGGGUCAAAAGCGGAUAAACAGCAUUAAGGACUAUUAACCCGUUAGCUGUCUCUGUCUAACGCCAGAUAAAUUUACACUCUGUAACGCCAGACGAUUUUACUAGUCAGUGGUAGAGUACUGUAAUUAAAUGGUUUAAUUAACAAACCUAUCUGCCAAUGUCUCUUAUUAACCCAAUAGCUGACGACAUAGACGGAUUCUGUGUGGAGGGAGAGG